rnacentral:lncRNA from 1 species
AUUUGACGUACGACAGGAAAUUAUGUAUUUCGAAAGAAAUAAAGGACGUAGAGCGAAUGACAAUAGAGUUUGGGAAGGAAGUAAUCAGGGAUAAGGAACAAUGGAGAUGGAAGGCGUGUCCGAAUCGGUCAAACGAGGUCCUCACGCGCGAAAAGUAAUGCCCUGGUUAACGUGAAGGGAGUUCACCUUGGAUUACACAGACACACACAUACACACACAGGUGAUGGAGACAGACAUUUCGAUAUCGAAGAAUUGAAACUGAUUAUGAUUGGUAUUAUCUUCUUUCUGGGACUCUUCUUGGGUGUUUUAGCAGAAACGGAAGAUUUUGAUGAUGGCCGUCCGUAUAGACAAAUUCCAGCUUCUAGAGAAGUAACAGUACCCAUGACGACGGUUUUCACUACCGAAAAAACUAUAAAACAUCCGAUGUCAGCAAGAAGUUCGAAAUAUAAGAGAAAAUACUAUUCUAUAAAACCUGUAAAAAAUUACUAGCACGGAU